UACGAAGGGUGCAAGCGUUAAUCGGAGUUACUGGGCGUAAAGGGCGUGUAGGUGGUUUCGUAAGUCUGGCGUGAAAUUUUUCGGCUUAACCGGGAAAGGUCGUCGGAUACUGCUAAACUAGAGGACGGUAGAGGCGUGUGGAAUUCCGGGUGUAGUGGUGAAAUGCGUAGAGAUCCGGAGGAACACCAGUGGCGAAGGCGACACGCUGGGCCGUACCUGACACUGAUGCGCGACAGCAUGGGGAGCAAACAGG
rnacentral:rRNA from 1 species